rnacentral:lncRNA from 1 species
CCCAAGACUGUCAGCCCUUCUCCAGGGCUAGCAACAAGCAGAGUGUAGCAGUGAGAAGAUGCUCUUGGCAGGCUCCAGAUAGCUGUGCCCUCAGCCCAGGAGGACUCAGCCAAUGAAGACUCAGCUAAUGAAAGCUCAGCAUGGAGGUGGCAAAGGGCUGCAGCCCCACCAAACUCUUUGCCUCCAGGCGCUGUGGUGGUGAAGAACUGAAAUACACAAACCUUGGGGCUUCCCCUUGUCCCUGAAACUGCAGAAGAUGCUGGCUCGGGAGAACUCAGGUGAGAAAGCUGCUGCAGGAGCCAGAAACCUUGGCAAAGACUCUUUCUUUGCAAGUAAGAAAGCUGGUUGGGAAAGAGGACCAACUGUUCCUUCUAAAUUCCCAGGGAGUGGAGGGUACGUGAGGCCCUGUGAUUCAUUGGCCAGGAGUAUCUGCUCCAGCUGCCAGGCCAGAGUGAUCAAUCCAAAAGUGCUUCUGAAAAUGAGGCCAGACCCACAUUAAUGAAGCCUGAUUGCCUCAG